GAAAAUUUCAGAAUUUUCGGCGCACAAGCCCAUGUGGCCGACACGGCCCAAAUGGCCAGCUUGUAUGGCCCACACUGCCGAAAUAGCCCAUACCAUGUGCCACACACGGUCCAGCACAUGGUCUGUCACAUGGCCGUGUGGCGUUGAUAGUGAACUUUUUCGGCUUUCGUCGAUUGCAUUUUUUUUGUGUUUUUGAUAUACACCUGAGUAUUUUCUGAUGUUGAUUCAAAUACGAGUAAUCUCAGAACCUAAAUUUACAAUUAACCCAACCAAUUUCAAUAAUUAUUCGCGAAAUCGUAACUAAUAAUCGACCCCAAUCAAACUAAAACAACCCUUCAUGACACAUCCACACACUUACCGAUGAACGAACGGCUACUACAAAAAUUCUAAAUUGCUGGAGAGUUACCC
rnacentral:lncRNA from 1 species